rnacentral:lncRNA from 1 species
UCGGGCCCGCGCACUCUUGGCAAAGUUUCAGUGCGACUGGAGGCGCCGGGCGCUCCAUGGCCGCGCCGUAACGGGGACCCAGCCGCCUCCCCGCCCAGCCCAGCCCAGCCCUUCCGCCCGCCCAGGAUGGAGGCGCCCGCCAGCGCGCAGACCCCACACCCGCACGAGCCCAUCAGCUUCGGCAUCGACCAAAUCCUCAACAGCCCGGACCAGGACAGCGCGCCCGCCCCGCGGGGCCCCGACGGCGCCAGCUACCUGGGAGGGCCCCCCGGGGGCCGUCCGGGCGCCGCGUACCCGUCUCUGCCCGCCUCGUUUGCGGGCCUCGGCGCGCCCUUCGAGGACGCGGGAUCUUACAGUGUCAACCUAAGCCUGGCCCCCGCCGGCGUGAUCCGGGUGCCAGCGCACAGGCCGCUCCCUGGGGCUGUGCCGCCGCCUCUGCCUAGCGCGCUGCCCGCCAUGCCCUCCGUGCCCACGGUCUCCAGCCUGGGCGGCCUCAAUUUCCCCUGGAUGGAGAGCAGUCGCCGCUUUGUAAAGGACCGCUUCACAGGUG